AGUCGAGCGAGCGGAACUAACAGAUUUACUUCGGUAAUGACGUUAGGAAAGCGAGCGGCGGAUGGGUGAGUAACACGUGGGGAACCUGCCCCAUAGUCUGGGAUACCACUUGGAAACAGGUGCUAAUACCGGAUAAGAAAGCAGAUCGCAUGAUCAGCUUUUAAAAGGCGGCGUAAGCUAUCGCUAUGGGAUGGCCCCGCGGUGCAUUAGCUAGUUGGUAAGGUAAAGGCUUACCAAGGCGAUGAUGCAUAGCCGAGUUGAGAGACUGAUCGGCCACAUUGGGACUGAGACACGGCCCAAACUCCUACGGGAGGCAGCAGUAGGGAAUCUUCCACAAUGGACGCAAGUCUGAUGGAGCAACGCCGCGUGAGUGAAGAAGGUUUUCGGAUCGUAAAGCUCUGUUGUUGGUGAAGAAGGAUAGAGGUAGUAACUGGCCUUUAUUUGACGGUAAUCAACCAGAAAGUCACGGCUAACUACGUGCCAGCAGCCGCGGUAAUACGUAGGUGGCAAGCGUUGUCCGGAUUUAUUGGGCGUAAAGCGAGCGCAGGCGGAAGAAUAAGUCUGAUGUGAAAGCCCUCGGCUUAACCGAGGAACUGCAUCGGAAACUGUUUUUCUUGAGUGCAGAAGAGGAGAGUGGAACUCCAUGUGUAGCGGUGGAAUGCGUAGAUAUAUGGAAGAACACCAGUGGCGAAGGCGGCUCUCUGGUCUGCAACUGACGCUGAGGCUCGAAAGCAUGGGUAGCGAACAGGAUUAGAUACCCUGGUAGUCCAUGCCGUAAACGAUGAGUGCUA
rnacentral:rRNA from 1 species